rnacentral:tRNA from 1 species
GUGGGCGUAGCUCAUUUGGUUAGAGCGUCAGAUUGUGGCUCUGAAGGUAGCCGGUUCGAUCCCGGUCGUCCACCCCA